AUGUCUAAUCGAAAUAUUUGUUCAGUGGUUGGUUGUGAAAGUCGAAUGACAGAUCAGAUAUCGUUUUUUAGGUGCCAUAAAGAUGAUGGAAGAUGUCAAGCUUGGAAAAAUGUCUUAGGAUUCAUAGGAUCCCAUAGAUACGCGGAUAAUACUCCAACACAAUGUUAUAACCGUAUUAGAAUUUGUAGUGUGCAUUUUAAUGAUGACAGUUUUACAAAUUUCUCGAAAACCCGAAUUCAUUCGUAUGCUAUCCCACCGAUUGGAGUACCUACCCAAAAAGACGAUGCACAUUUUCCUAAAGCCACUGUUGAUGCCAUUGUUCAGACAGAAACCUUCGAAGUAAAUCAGCCAAAGCAGCCGUUACUAAAAGCCUGCUAAGUUGAAAUAUUCAAACUUUAAAAGACUCCAUAUAAAAAACUAACAUCAAUAGUGUGUAUGGAGGAUGAUGAGGUCGACGUAGAGAGAAAAACAUCAGUCCUUACCGACGCCAACGUUGCCAUACUACGUACAGAGCAAAGGCCAACAAAAAUACACAUACAGUCAAAAGUUGACACCGCCAGUGCCCAUAACCUCAAAAAGGGAAAAUAAAAAUAAAUAGCCCAGUUACGCAAUAUGAUCCAAAAUAUCCAACAAUUGGGGUCAGUGCAAGACAUUAAUGAAAAACCUUGGGAGACAUAUCGAACAAGAUGCAUGGUUUCUGGCAGUGGCGGCUCGUCAGGGGAGGAAAGGGAGGCUUAGCCUCCCCAUCAAAUUGUAAUGAAAUAAUAAAAAUAUUUAACAAAAAUAAAAAAAUAAAAUAUUUUUUUU